CCUGGCCUAGCGAGCAUGCAGCGCCUUGUCAUGUCGGCGCCGCUGGCGACGGCGGCAUGAGCUGUGGCUGGAGAAGUUGGGUGCGUGGUUGCCGUCUUGCUGCUGGGACUCGGGGAGGCUGUCGGAACAGAGCUGCUGAAAGAAGUUGUCCACGAAGGCUCUGCAGCCAGACUCCUUGGAGAUUUGGAAAGGAACGUAAGCCCUCAAGAGGAAGAAUUAAUGAGGAAUAAAGUGGCAAACGAGGUGACAAAGUGGAGGGUGGAAGACCAGCAGUGAAUGUACAGGUCUCGCAUUCAUCCAAAAAGCACAUAUACACAGCUGUCUGUGUACUGGGUCGUGGUGAUGCAAGAAAGGAAAUACUGCCCAGCCAGGUGUGGCUCAGUGACUGAGGGUCGUCGCAGGAACCAAGAGACCACCAGUUCGAUUCCCAGUCAGGGCAUCUGCUCCAGUUGCGGGCUCUAUCUCCAGUCGGGGGUGUGGAGGCGGCAGCCGACUGAUGGCUCUCUCUCAUCAUUGAUGUUUCUAUCUCUCUCUCCCUCUGCCUUCCUCUCUGAAAUCAAUAAAAAAUUUUUUUUU